rnacentral:rRNA from 1 species
AGAGUUUGAUCCUGGCUCAGAACGAACGCUGGCGGCGUGCUAACACAUGCAAGUCGAACGGGAUGAGGGGCUUGCUCCUCAUCUAGUGGCGCACGGGUGAGUAACGCGUAGAUAAUCUGCCUGACGAUCUGGGAUAACACUUCGAAAGGGGUGCUAAUACCGGAUAAGCCCACGUGAUCUUUGGAUCGUGCGGGAAAAGGGGGGGACCUUUUGGCCUUCUGUCGUCAGAUGAGUCUGCGUACCAUUAGCUAGUUGGUAGGGUAAAGGCCUACCAAGGCGACGAUGGUUAGCUGGUCUGAGAGGAUGAUCAGCCACACUGGAACUGAGACACGGUCCAGACUCCUACGGGAGGCAGCAGUGGGGAAUUUUGCGCAAUGGGCGAAAGCCUGACGCAGCAACGCCGCGUGAGUGAUGAAGGCUUUCGGGUCGUAAAGCUCUGUCGAGGGGAAAGAAGUGUACGGAGGUUAAUACCCUCUGUAUUUGACGGUACCCCUAAAGGAAGCACCGGCUAACUCCGUGCCAGCAGCCGCGGUAAUACGGGGGGUGCAAGCGUUGUUCGGAAUUAUUGGGCGUAAAGCGCGUGUAGGCGGUUUGAUUAGUCUGAUGUGAAAGCCCUGGGCUCAACCCAGGAAGUGCAUUGGAAACUGUCAGACUUGAAUACGGGAGAGGGUAGUGGAAUUCCUAGUGUAGGAGUGAAAUCCGUAGAUAUUAGGAGGAACACCGGUGGCGAAGGCGGCUGCCUGGACCGAUAUUGACGCUGAGACGCGAAAGCGUGGGUAGCAAACAGGAUUAGAUACCCUGGUAGUCCACGCCGUAAACGAUGAGAACUAGGUGUUGCGGGUAUUGACCCCUGCAGUGCCGCAGCUAACGCAUUAAGUUCUCCGCCUGGGAAGUACGGUCGCAAGACUAAAACUCAAAUGAAUUGACGG